UCUUGACCUCGGAUCAGGUAGGGAUACCCGCUGAACUUAAGCA
rnacentral:rRNA from 2 species